CCUACUUUAUCCACUGAACAGGAACAGUAGCAGUGCAUGCUACUCCACCUCUGCCCUGAAAGGACCACCUCCAGGGUGAGAAGG
rnacentral:sRNA from 1 species